CCAGACACCGCCAUGACAAGCAGCAUGAAAAGAUGCUGUUUCCUGACAGGGCGGGGGAGGAGCACUGACAGCCAGUCAAUCUGCGUCACAGCUUGAAGCACCUGGAGAAAGCAUCAGACCCCACAGGACUACAGUUACAGAUAGCUGUGACCCACCACGUGAACACAGGACCUCUGCAAGGGCAGCCAGGGCUCUUAACCCUGAGCCGUCGCUCCAGGUCCAUGGUCUUGAAUUUUUAAUUCUCCUGCCUCGGCUUCCAGAGCCCUGAGAUUACAGCCUUUUGAGUGGAAAGUUCUAGAAAACAUCUUACUACAUUUUACUUAUUUGGGGUGAG